CUCGUAUCUCGUAAAGAAAAUCUUUAAGUGUCCACUUGACCAUUUUGUGUUUCUGUCACAGCCACUAUAUAGUGACCCAUUUGUUUAUAACACGUAUUAUAUUAAUAUUGUUCUACUCAGGAAAUUCCUUGUACUUUCUAACUGUCGGUUUGAAUUCCGUAAUAAUUUCCCUCUUAUUGUUACCGGACAUAUUCCAUAAAAAUGAUUUCCCU